AAACGUAGGAGGCUAGCGUUAUCCGGAUUUAUUGGGCGUAAAGCGCGUGCAGGCGGUCUGGUAAGUUGGAUGUGAAAGCUCCUGGCUUAACUGGGAGAGGUCGUUCAAUACUGUCAGACUAGAGAAUGGGAGAGGGAGGUGGAAUUCCGGGUGUAGUGGUGAAAUGCGUAGAUAUCCGGAGGAACACCAGUGGCGAAAGCGGCCUCCUGGACCACUUCUGACGCUAAGACGCGAAAGCUAGGGUAGC
rnacentral:rRNA from 1 species